rnacentral:rRNA from 1 species
AUUGAACGCUGGCGGCAGGCCUAACACAUGCAAGUCGAGCGAGCGGCGGACGGGUGAGUAAUGUCUGGGAAACUGCCCGAUGGAGGGGGAUAACUACUGGAAACGGUAGCUAAUACCGCAUACCCUCGCAUGUGCCCAGCUGGGCUUAGCUAGUAGGUGGGUAAAGGCCCACCUAGGCGACGAUCCCGAGCUGGUCUGAGAGGAUGACCAGCCACACUGGAACUGAGACACGGUCCAGACUCCUACGGGAGGCAGCAGUGGGGAAUAUUGCACAAUGGGCGCAAGCCUGAUGCAGCCAUGCCGCGUGUAUGAAGAAGGCCUUCGGGUUGUAAAGUACUUUCAGCGGGGAGGCGUUACCCGCAGAAGAAGCACCGGCUAACUCCGUGCCAGCCGCCGCGGUAAUAC